rnacentral:rRNA from 1 species
GUCGUCAGCUCGUGUCGUGAGAUGUUGGGUUAAGUCCCGCAACGAGCGCAACCCUGCAUUCAGUUGCCAUCGGUAAGGCCGGGCACUCUGGAUGGACUGCCGGCGCAAGCCGGAGGAAGGUGGGGACGACGUCAAGUCAUCAUGGCCCUUAUGUCCAGGGCGACACACGUGCUACAAUGGCCGGCACAACGGGAAGCGAAGGGGCGACCCUGAGCGGAUCCCACAAAAGCCGGUCUCAGUUCGGAUUGCAGUCUGCAACUCGACUGCAUGAAGUUGGAAUCGCUAGUAAUCGUGGAUCAGCCAAGCCGCGGUGAAUACGUUCCCGGGCCUU